CAUUCUGCAGAAAAGCCCAUUUAGCAGCCCAAUGCCCUUUCCCCAAACCCUCACACUCCGCCGCCCGCACCAAACCGCCGGAGCGCCCGCGCCACCAUGCACCGCCUCCUUCCUCCUCGCGUCGGCCUGCUCCGACGCCUCUCCACGGCCGCCGAGGCCGCCGCCUCCCCACCCCAUCCACCACCGCAGCCGCGGGCCGACUCCCUGUAUCUACGGGUCGCUGCCGCAGUGAUCCCGCGCAUCCCGCUGACCCCCGUGCUGGAGCAAUGGGCCGUCGCCGAGGGCCGCGCCGUCGAGAAGCACGACCUCCAGGCUAUCAUCAAGAAGCUCGUCCUCCGCCGCCGCUUCUCCCACGCGCUUGAGCUGUCCCUGUGGAUGACCGACCGGCGGCACUUCCCCCUGUCGCCCGGCGACGUCGCCUACCGGCUGGAGCUGCUCACCAAGGUGCACGGCCUCCAGAGUGCCGUGGCCUACUUCGGGGGCUUGUCAGUUCAGCUCAAGAAACCUCAGUGCUACGGCUCCCUCCUGAAAUGCUACGCGGAGGCCAAGUCCGUCGAGGAGGCUGAAAAGCUCUUUGCGGAUAUGCAGAAGAUGGAGAUGAUGAGUUCAUAUCCUUACAAUGUGAUGAUGAAGCUUUACUUGGAGUUGGGGCAGGUUGAGAGGGUGCGCACCAUGUACAAGGCUAUGGAGGAGAGUGGCAUCAAGCCUGAUGUAUUCACUGUCGACACUCUGUUGAAGGUGUAUGCAGCUGCUGAAGAUCUCAAUCGGGUUGAGGAACUUCUUGAGAAGUCCGAUCCGAAGAUGCUGAGUUGGCAUUCACAUGCCAGUGUAGCCAGGCUUUUCAUGAAAGCUGGGCUCCAAGGAAGGGCCUUGCAGGCUAUUGAGGAAUCUGAAAAGCGGAUUAGUCCGAAGAAUGGCAGGGUUGCAUACGGGUUCUUGCUUUCUAUGUGUGCUGAUUUGGGAAUGAGUAGCGAGGUGGACCGCAUUUGGAAUGCCUAUAAGUCCAAAGUGCCGACAUGCAACACGAUGUAUAUGUGCAGGAUAAGUGUGCUGCUUAAGAUGAAUGACAUCGAUGGGGCUGAGAACGCCUUCAGAGAGUGGGAAAGUAGGUAUGUUCACCAUGAUAUCCGGCUAACUAACCUACUGCUAAAUGGCUACUGUGCAAAUGGCCUUAUGGAGAAAGCAGAAGCUCUCGUGGAUGAAGCCAUUGCCAAAGGGAGGACACCUUACGCUAAUACUUGGUAUAAACUGGCUGGUGGGUUUUUCAAGGAUGGCCAGGUGUCAAAGGCGGUGGAUCUGACAAGGAAAGCUCUUGCUUCUGCAACUUCUGAAUGGGAACCUGACCAGACAAAUGUGCUAAUGAGUCUGGAAUAUUUCACGGAUCAAAAGAAUGUUAAAGCAGCUGAGGAAAUAGCAAGCCAGCUGCGGAGUUUGGUACCUUUGACAAGGGAGGUUUACCAUGGUUUACUCAAGACAUAUGCUCAUGCAGGACAGCCAGUGUCAGAUUUACUUGAUCGCAUGAAUAAAGAUGGUUUUGAGGCUAAUGAAGAAACAAAUAGAAUCAUUGCUGGAAUAUGCCGGUAGAUAUGCGCAGGUUCCUAUCAUUGAACAAUUUCUUUGGUUGUUUUGCUAGUUUGAUUUCCUCCAGUGCUUAGUGCUUACCUAAGGCAUUGCAGUUAUUUAACCUUCUAUGUGAUGGCCUCACAGGGCAGAGGGGAUAUCAAAUACACCAUCCGUCCACAAAAGGAUGUCUCAACUUUGUCUAAAUUUGCAUGCACCUACACACUAAAACAUGUCUAAAUACAUGAUAUUUUGAUAAAGGCGAGACAUCCUUUUUAGGAUGGAGGGAGUAUAUCGUUAGAGUAUGGUCAUUUCAAUUAAUAUGGAGAUCUGUAUUUUUGUUAGUAUCAGAUAAAAUAUCAUGUAAUGCAAUUUUUCAGUACUGGCAAAUCAUUCUUUUAAGUCAUUCUUCCUUAAUUUCAUCUCAAUUUAUACAUUUUUUUACUUAAGAUAUCACUAUGGCUUAUCUUCAUCAUAUUCUUCCACUUGAGGCCUAACUGCUCCUAUGUUUUUUCUGUUUUCGUGGCAUUCAAAAGUUCCAAUUGGAACACGUCUGGCAGAAGCUGGUAGCUUGAUAAUGAUUGUAUAAUAAACCUGAGAAUAUGACUCUUCCAAUAUGGGAGAGAUGGCUGAUUUUAUUUUGGAUCUAGGCGGUGGCAAGUUGUGCCUGUAAUGGCCUUCAUUUUGUCAAUCCGGACCACUAGCAUCAGCAACGCCUUUUAUCUGUCACUUACCAAGCAAGCCAGGGGGAAUCAUGAUUGGGAUCACUUUGAAAAGUAGCCAAGACUGGAUGGGGAUAACAAUCAAAGUUGCUGCUGCAAUGAAGUGUGGUGAACUGUUUCAGUAUAUGGAUGGUAGUUCUUGUAUUUCAACCAUCACUUGGGCACAUGUUAAUUUCUGACUUUCGACCAAAAAUGUAGUUCCUUUCCCAUGAAAGUGAACAGUUAGAACUUAGAAGUAGUGUGCAUUUCACAUUCGCAAACCCAGUUUGAUUCCUGUAAUCCGCGGCACUUCAUGUGGGAUGACCAGAUGAGGCAGUAAUAUGCCACUCACUAGAAUUGCAUCAUGAUAUUUACUUUCA